rnacentral:rRNA from 1 species
UACGAAGGGGGCUAGCGUUGCUCGGAAUGACUGGGCGUAAAGGGCGCGUAGGCGGCUCAUACAGUCAGAUGUGAAAUUCCUGGGCUUAACCUGGGGGCUGCAUUUGAUACGUGUGGGCUUGAGUGGGGAAGAGGGUCGUGGAAUUCCCAGUGUAGAGGUGAAAUUCGUAGAUAUUGGGAAGAACACCAGUGGCGAAGGCGGCUCACUGGCCCGAUACUGACGCUGAGGUGCGAAAGCGUGGGGAGCAAACAGG